rnacentral:rRNA from 1 species
GAUGAACGCUGGCGGCGUGCCUAAUACAUGCAAGUCGAGCGAACGGACGAGAAGCUUGCUUCUCUGAUGUUAGCGGCGGACGGGUGAGUAACACGUGGAUAACCUACCUAUAAGACUGGGAUAACUUCGGGAAACCGGAGCUAAUACCGGAUGAUAUUUUGAACCGCAUGGUUCAAAAGUGAAAGACGGUCUUGCUGUCACUUAUAGAUGGAUCCGCGCCGCAUUAGCUAGUUGGUAAGGUAACGGCUUACCAAGGCAACGAUGCAUAGCCGACCUGAGAGGGGGAUCGGCCACACUGGAACUGAGACACGGUCCAGACUCCUACGGGAGGCAGCAGUAGGGAAUCUUCCGCAAUGGGCGAAAGCCUGACGGAGCAACGCCGCGUGAGUGAUGAAGGUCUUCGGAUCGUAAAACUCUGUUAUUAGGGAAGAACAUAUGUGUAAGUAACUGUGCACAUCUUGACGGUACCUAAUCAGAAAGCCACGGCUAACUACGUG